ensembl:lncRNA
CUGUACACAAGGCAAAGGCAUAGUGUAUUGUACCUUUACAAGGAUAUUUUUCUGAGUCUGAAUUUGAAAAUCAAAAUGUAAACUCCAUAGCAAUAGCCCUUCUUUACUUAUUCUCAUGAAUUAGACGGCUUAUAUAGUUUGACGCUGAGACUAGAAAGAGUUAUUUAAAGAUUAUUGCUCUAGUUCAUUGCUUAAGUUCCUCAUUUAUGUCAUUUAGUAGCAGUAAUAACCAUAAAACAAUAACAGUGCUGUGGUCCUAGAAAGCACUGUGUACUAGGUGCUGUUUUAGUUACUCAUGUAUAGUGACUUAUUUAACCCUUAUGACAGUGUUAUGAGGUUGGCAUUUUAUCAUCCCUGUUUUGUUUUUUAUUUUUAAUUCUUUUUUGAUUCCACACUUUCACAAUAUAUUUUUUUAAAAUUUUCGGAAUGUAUUAUCUUCACAUUUUUUAGCAAGUGCUAACUAUAGAAAAAGAUGAAUACCAUUUCAGUUUGGUUUCUAAGAUAACAUCAUUCUGACACUCAAACGCCAAAAUAUAGUAUAGAUGACACAGAGAGCAAUCAUUUCUGUGAAUUUAAUACAAAAUCCUGUAAAAUAGCACCAUUCCAAAUCCUAGAGAAAAUCAUGAGCAAUUAGAGUUGAGACUAGGAGUAGAAGGACUAUAUGAAAUGUAAUGAUUAAAAGCAUUCACCCCUAUUUUAUUGAGGAGGAAACUGAGUCACGUAAAAGAGAAAUGACAUUCAGAGUCCCGUGCAGAGGAGGCGAUGGUCAGGACAGGGUCUUGUUACAUACCCUUCCUGCUAAACAAAUUCUCUCUCUAAUCUUUACCUCUAGGCUGAAAUCUUCCUUCAAAUUCAGUUCUGGCUAUAGGACAUCUCUUCCCAAACACCUACCGGAUCAUCGAAUCCAGCAUGUUGCAGAUAGAGUGGAAGGUCUGGGGCCAGUUUCUUUGAUUACAGAUAGAAGAACCUCCUAUAUCUCAAACUAACUCCAUCUAAGAGGAAGAAAUCGCUGUGAGGAUAUGAGAGAAACUCAUUAUAAGGGCUUGAAUAGAUAAAGUGAAAAUUUGUCAGGAACAAAGGUGAGCAUUUCCUUUGUCUGUGGGUCACUCUGUCUCUGCAAUCUGUUCUCUGAUUUAUUUCCUUUUUUUUUUCAAAAUAAGUUAAGCCAUUUAUUUGUAGUAUUUACUAGUUUCUGUGGUGUAAACAUUCCCUCCAUGGUCAAUUUCAAUUUCAGUGAUAUCAUGACCAGCAUGAUAUCACUGAAGACAGAAUUGAGAAAAGAUGUGUAGUAGUAAACAUUGUUUAUAAUAUUUCCACCACAAAAAUAUAAUCAGUAUCAACAACCUCAUGUAUAGUACAAUAUGGUUAAAUAACUAAGUAAUGCAUUUUUGAGGGUUUUUUUGGUUUUAAUAUAAUUUACCUAAUUCUAAGUUUAUAUGACAUUUAUUUUAAUGGCUUACAAUAUUUUUUAAAAUUAACAGUUGACUCUCAAGAGCCAUCUCAAGCACAAUGCUGUAAUAAAUGUUGUAAUAUUGGUCCUCAAUUUUUUUUGGUCUUUUUUAGGGCCACACCCAUAGCAUACGGUGGUUCCCAAGCUAGGGGUUGAAUCCAAGUGGUAGCUGCUGGCAUAUGCCACAGCAGCACAGGAUCUGAGAUGCAUCUGCAACACAGUUCAUGGCAAUGCCAGAUCCUUAAUCCACUAAGCAAGGCCAGGGUUUGAACCCACGUCCUCAUGGAUGCUAGUUGGGUUCGUUAACCACUGAGCCAUGACGGGAACUCCCAGUCCUCACAUUUAUUUAUUUAUUUAUUUAUUUAAAUUACUCAAUGAAUUGUAUUACAUUUAUAGUUGUACAGUGACCAUCACAACCUGAUUUUAUAGUGUCUCCAUCCCAAACCCCCAGCCCAUCCCCACCACCUGUCUCAUUUGGAAACCAUGUUUUUCAAAGUCUCUGAGUCAGUAUCUGUUCUGCAAUGAAGUUCACUGUGUCCAUUUUUUAGAUUCCACAUGUAAGUGAUAGCAUUUGAUGUUGGUGUCUCACCAUCUGACUGACUUCACUUAGCGUGAUAAUUUCUAUGUCCAUCCUUGUUGCUGCAAAUGCUAUUUCUUUCCUUUUAAUCACUGAGUAAUAUCCCAUUGUGUAUAUGUACCACAUCUUCCUUAUCCACUCUUCUGUUGAUGGACAUUUAGGUUGUUUCCAUGUCUUGGCUAUUGUAUAUAGUACUGCAAUGAACAUUGGAGUACAUGUGUCUUUUCAAGUCAUGAUUUUCUCUGGAUAGAUGCCCAGGAGUGGCAUUGCUGGAUCAAAUGGUAAUUUUAUUUUUAGUUUUCUGAAGCAUCUCUAUACUGUUUUCCACAGUGGUUACGCCAAUUUACAUGCCCAUCAACAAUGUAAGAGGGUUCCCUCUCUCCACACCCUCUCCACCAUUAAUUAUUUGUAGACCUUUUGAUAAUGGCCAUUCUGGCCAGUGUUAAGAUGGUACUUCAUGGUGGUUUUGAUUUGCAUUCCUCUAAUAGUUAGUGAUGUUGAACAUCUUUUCACUUGUUUUUUGGCCAUCUAUAUGUCUUCUUUGGAGAACUGUCUGUUUAGAUCUUCUGCCCAUUUUUUGAUGGGGUUGUUUAUUUUUUUGGUAUUGAGCUUCAGAAAAUGUUUCUAAAUUUUGGAGAUUAAUCCCUUGUCAGUUGAUUCAUUUGCAAAUAUUUUCUCCUAUUCUGUGUGUUGUCUUUUUGUUUUUUUAGGGUUUCCUUUGCUGUGCAGAAACUUUUGAGUUUAAUUAGGUCCUGUUUGUUUAUUUUUGUUUUUAUUGUCAUUACUCUAGGAGGUGGAUUUGACAAGAUGUUGCUGUGGAUUAUGUGGAGAGUGUUUGGCCUAUGUUUUCCUCUAAGAGUUUUAUAGUAUCUGGUUUUACAUUUAGGUCGUUAAUCCAUUUUGAGUUUAUUUUUGUGUAUGGUAUUAGGAAGUGAUCAAAUUUUAUUCUUUUACAUGUGGAUGUCCAGUUUUUCCAGCACCACGUAUUGAAGGGGCUGUCUUUUCUCCAUUGUAUAUUCAUCCCUCCUUUGUCUUGCAUUAGUUGACUGUAGGAGCAUGGAUUUAAUUCUGGGCUUUCUAUCCUGUUCCACUGAUCUAUAUUUCUGUCUUUGUGCCAGUACAAUAUGGUUUUGAUGCCUGUAUCUUUGUAGUGUAGUCUGAAGUCAGGGAUCCAGAUUCCUCCAGCUCCAUUUUAAUUUAUCCUGAAACCUCCAGCUCCAUUUUUCUUUCUCAUGAUGGCCUUGGCUAUUCUGUGUCUUUUGUGCUUCCAAAAAAACUUAAAGACGU